rnacentral:rRNA from 1 species
UACGUAGGGGGCAAGCGUUGUCCGGAUUUAUUGGGCGUAAAGCGCUCGCAGGUGGUCCGUCGCGUCGUGCGUGAAAGACCCCGGCUCAACUGGGGAGGGUCGUGCGAUACGGGCGGACUGGAGGCCAGUAGGGGGAUGCGGAAUUCCGGGUGUAGUGGUGGAAUGCGUAGAGAUCCGGAGGAACACCAGCGGCGAAGGCGGCAUCCUGGACUGGUCCUGACACUCAGGAGCGAAAGCGUGGGAGCGAUCCGG